GAUGAACGCUAGCGGGAGGCCUAACACAUGCAAGCCGAGCGGUAGAGUUCCUUCUGGACCUUGAGAGCGGCGUACGGGUGCGUAACACGUGUGCAACCUACCUUUAUCUGGGGGAUAGCCUUUCGAAAGGAAGAUUAAUACCCCAUAAUAUAAUGAUUGGCAUCAAUUAUUAUUGAAAACUCCGGUGGAUAGAGAUGGGCACGCGCAAGAUUAGAUAGUUGGUGAGGUAACGGCUCACCAAGUCAAUGAUCUUUAGGGGUCCUGAGAGGGAGAUCCCCCACACUGGUACUGAGACACGGACCAGACUCCUACGGGAGGCAGCAGUGAGGAAUAUUGGACAAUGGGUGAAAGCCUGAUCCAGCCAUCCCGCGUGAAGGAUGACGGUCCUAUGGAUUGUAAACUUCUUUUGUACAGGGAUAAACCUACUCUCGUGAGGGUAGCUGAAGGUACUGUACGAAUAAGCACCGGCUAACUCCGUG
rnacentral:rRNA from 1 species